rnacentral:rRNA from 1 species
GUUAGGAAUAUUGGACAAUGGGCGCAAGCCUGAUCCAGCCAUGCCGCGUGUGUGAAGAAGGUCUUCGGAUUGUAAAGCACUUUAAGUUGGGAGGAAGGGCAGUAAGUUAAUACCUUGCUGUUUUGACGUUACCGACAGAAUAAGCACCGGCUAACUUCGUGCCAGCAGCCGCGGUAAUACGAAGGGUGCAAGCGUUAAUCGGAAUUACUGGGCGUAAAGCGCGCGUAGGUGGUUUUGUAAGUUGGAGGUGAAAUCCCCGGGCUCAACCUGGGAACUGCCUCCAAAACUGCAUGACUAGAGUACGGUAGAGGGUAGUGGAAUUUCCUGUGUAGCGGUGAAAUGCGUAGAUAUAGGAAGGAACACCAGUGGCGAAGGCGACUACCUGGACUGAUACUGACACUGAGGUGCGAAAGCGUGGGGAGCAAACAGGAUUAGAAACCCUUGUAGUCC